rnacentral:rRNA from 1 species
AUUGAACGCUGGCGGCAGGCCUAACACAUGCAAGUCGAGCGGAUGAAGGGGGCUUGCUCCUGGAUUCAGCGGCGGACGGGUGAGUAAUGCCUAGGAAUCUGCCUGGUAGUGGGGGAUAACGUCCGGAAACGGGCGCUAAUACCGCAUACGUCCUGAGGGAGAAAGUGGGGGAUCUUCGGACCUCACGCUAUCAGAUGAGCCUAGGUCGGAUUAGCUAGUUGGUGGGGUAAAGGCCUACCAAGGCGACGAUCCGUAACUGGUCUGAGAGGAUGAUCAGUCACACUGGAACUGAGACACGGUCCAGACUCCUACGGGAGGCAGCAGUGGGGAAUAUUGGACAAUGGGCGAAAGCCUGAUCCAGCCAUGCCGCGUGUGUGAAGAAGGUCUUCGGAUUGUAAAGCACUUUAAGUUGGGAGGAAGGGCAGUAAGUUAAUACCUUGCUGUUUUGACGUUACCAACAGAAUAAGCACCGGUUAACUUCGUG